UGCAUGAGGCUAAGGGAGUGCCAUAUCGGGCUAGGUAAGACCGAGGAGCACAGAAGGGACCAGGAAGGGGCAGGUCGGGGCCAGGUCUCGGGGCAGGUGAGCGGGCAAGCGGAGUCGCGGGCAGGAGAGGGCCGGGCAACAGUGUGGUGCGCGCGGUCGCGGAGGGUAGAGCGAGGGACGUGAACGAGGCGCCAAAGGCAAAGACAGCUUUUGUGUUGUGGAGAAGAGCGUAGCUUGCGGUGAGAGCGUCAAGACAUGCGGCUCUGUAGGGGAGGGCAGCACAGAGUGAGCUACAUGCUGCCGUGUUGUCUCAUUGGUUCUCCCUCGACCUUUCUCUCUACUGGUUCUCCCUCGCCCUACGGUUGAACACCUCCCUGUCACCCUCCCUUGAGUACGAGCAGCGGCACCAUGAAGAUCGCUUGCGUUCCCAUGGCCGCCGUGGCAGCCAACGGACGCAUUCCUCGGUUCUGGAACCUUUCCUCAUAUGGCUCCUGGGUAAGUGAGGGGAUGGCGAAGAUGCUUAGGAAAGAAGAAUUUUAAUGUCUGCAAGUAUAACAUUGUCAUUUUUAGAUUUGGAAUUGUUACUCUUUUGCAUAUACAUGGUCUACAGGAAGCUUCUUAUGCACUCGUCUUCAUUUUUUUAGCAGGCUUAAGAAGUAAACCCAAGUAGUAUUGCAUAACUUGUAUUCAACUUAUGCAGGUAAAUUACUUGUGGUUGCAAUCAGGGUUACAUGGUUUUCAUCAAAGAAUCGCCGAUCUCUCCUUAGUGCAGUAACCAUUAUCAGU